AAGUCGUAACAAGGUCUCCGUUGGUGAACCAGCGGAGGGAUCAUUACCGAGUUUACAAACUCCCAAACCCUUUGUGAACCUUACCUAUCGUUGCUUCGGCGGGAUCGCCCCGGCGCCUUCGGGCCCGGAACCAGGCGCCCGCCGGAGGCCCCAAACUCUUAUGUCUUUAGUGGUUUUCUCCUCUGAGUGACACAUAAACAAAUAAAUAAAAACUUUCAACAACGGAUCUCUUGGUUCUG
rnacentral:misc_RNA from 1 species